CUGAACCAUUCAUACUGAAUUAGAUUUGUGCAUUAAACUUAUCUCCUGCUUUAAUGUUUUAAUUUAAAAUAUCAACACUACAAUUCUUGAAAUACUGCAAAAAAUAUUGAUAUUUUGUUUCUUUCUCAUUUUAAGGUUUUAGACUUAGUUAUGCUUAAGAAAUUACAGUUUUCUGACUGUAAAUAAUGCGAAGGUGACUCGCAAUAACACUGUCCAAAAAGAGGAAACAGAAAUGAAAUGGGCGUGUAGGGAAAGCAGAAGGAGAGGUGAGGAAUGUUUGCCCCCCGGGCCAGAUUUUCACUCGCCUCGCUAACUGUUUCACACGUUCACCUGCAGUAGCGUUCGAUAUUCUUCCGAUCGAUGAGCGAAAAGGCACAAAGGCAGAACCAGACGGACCUCCGACGCGGCCCCUCCACACACUGGCUCACACGCACAGCCGCACACACUCCACCCAAACCCGCGACCCACCCCCUCCACCCCAGGUCCGCCGACGAGCACAGAGCAAGGGUUACCUCAAGGGUUAGCUCAAGGCUGCUCCCUGGACCGUGCAAAGUGGUCUGGACCGCUGACCUGCUGGACGACUUCCCGCGGAUGGCCGGGUGAGCGCCGCUGUCGCGACGACGAGGAAUCCAGGAGCAGCACCUCUUCUCGAUGGGGGAGCGGUAAGGAGGGAGGGGGAGAGAAGGCGACCGCUUCCAUGGUUACGGGCCAGGAACGGGGACCCCGCUAUUGAGGACUCUCCGUUCUCAUGCCCCUGGCUGGGGCAGCGUGACGUUGCGCAGGCCGUGGCGGCUCCGGAUGGUUCUCCCCCCGCAAAGCGGAGCUGCUCUUUCAGAGCGAAAGCCAAGCCACGGCACACCGCCGUUUGCAGGAAGGAGAGAAGCAGGGGAGACGGAGGGGGGCGCCGAAUGAAGAGUGCACAUCACAUGAUCCUCGUGAAAGCAGCUUCUUAUUUCACAUGUGGAGUGAAAACUAGCCUUCAGAUGACACCAUUGCAAGAAAAUUACAACUUGCGGACAGUAGACGGCUUUGGCCAAUCAAAAGCGGCCUUGAGGAUCGGAGCUGCGCUGCACCACACCGUGCCACACCACACCGCAGUGCGCCGCCGACACCGGGCACCGCCACCGCCACACCCAGAAGCCCCUGGCGUUCGGAACCUGGCGACCAUCACUAUACAAACCCGACGAUGCAAUCUUCUCCAUCUUCUCCCUGGCACUGCGGUGUGGACCGGCGCAGCGCGGUGUGGUGACAGUCACCAUGAAAACAACUCUCACAGGAAGGAGAAACAUAUGUCAUCACACAACUCCAUGAAAUUCAAAAGAUGAACAGUUUAUUCUCACAGAAUAAAAAAAAUAGCUUCUAUUGAUAUUUCCA
rnacentral:lncRNA from 1 species